AUUAAAUGAGAGUUUGAUCCUGGCUCAGGACGAACGCUGGCGGCGUGCCUAAUACAUGCA
rnacentral:rRNA from 1 species